rnacentral:rRNA from 1 species
CCGGCAUAGGAUGGACAUGCGUCGCAUUAGGUAGACGGCGGGGUAACGGCCCACCGUGCCGACGAUGCGUAGGGGUUCUGAGAGGAAGGCCCCCCACACUGGUACUGAGACACGGACCAGACUCCUACGGGAGGCAGCAGUGAGGAAUAUUGGUCAAUGGCCGAGAGGCUGAACCAGCCAAGUCGCGUGAGGGAAGAAUGUCCUAAGGAUUGUAAACCUCUUUUGUCGGGGAGCAAAAAGGCUCUGCGGAGUCGUAUUGAGAGUACCCGAAGAAAAAGCAUCGGCUAACUCCGUGCCAGCAGCCGCGGUAAUACGGAGGAUGCGAGCGUUAUCCGGAUUUAUUGGGUUUAAAGGGUGCGCAGGCGGCGUGUCAAGCAAGCGGUAAAAUAGCGGGGCUCAACCCCGUCGAGCCGUUUGAACUGGCGCGCUUGAGUUCAGGCGAGGUAGGCGGAAUUCGUGGUGUAGCGGUGAAAUGCAUAGAUAUCACGAAGAACUCCGAUUGCGAAGGCAGCUUACCAGUCUGCGACUGACGCUCAGGCACGAAAGUGUGGGUAUCGAACAGGAUUAGAUACCCUGGUAGUCCACACAGUAAACGAUGAGCACUAGGUGUCCGGGUCGCAUG